ensembl:lncRNA
AUGCCUCUCACCCUGCAGAGGGUCCUAUCUUGUCCCACAGGUAGAUCUACACCACCACUAGCCGCCCCUCCAACUUGCACAGGCCCCCGCCCUCCAGGGCCUCCUUUUCGGUCUGGCGGGUCCUGCCUCCUCCUCACCCAGAAGCUUCUCUGGCCCUCUGGAGUCCGGGCACACCUUAUGCAAGAACAAUGUCCACAUUCCUUUGUCCUUGGACUCCACUUGGCUGAGGUCUCCUCCCUGGGCUCUGGGAGUUUCCCCAGCCUGCUUUCCCAAGUCUGGACUUUCCCUCUGGCCCUCCCCCUCUCGGGCUGGCAGGGUGGGGGAAGCAGCCUCUUCCUGGGCUCAGAGAAUCCCACCCCAGCUCAGAAGGUGCAGGACCGCAGCCCGGGACGGACCUCAUCCCUCCUAGGGACUCCAGACCACUGUCUCUCUCAGCAGGUCCUGGCUCCUGGAACUCUUGGCCACCAUGGUUUCCGAGAGCCUGUCCGAUGGCAUGAAGAAACUGAAUGCUCGAAUGCAUCAGCUUGUGGACAAAUUUACUGAAAAAAUGGGAAACAAGGAAUCGGAACCUGAAAAGGUGAAGUUGAGCCUGGAUGAUCUGGAGGUGAGCCGCCGCCUCCCCGUCCACCAUGCUUAGUCCCUGGGUCUUAGGCUCCACAGGGUACUAAGUCUGGGCUCUGGGUCCCCUUGGGAAUCAACCUGGAGCAGUAGGGGCCACAGUGGGGAGGGGGCGGCAGGAGCAGCCCAAGCACCCUGUGUCUUCCUCUCCCAGGACGACUUCAGAGAGUGCAUGUUGGACACCGUGGUGGAUUGCUAUCAAGGACAGCACCUGGUGAGUGAGAGGCACCCAUCUCUGCGCCUUACCUCCCUUCACCUUUGCCCUGUCUUUUUUUUGUUUUUUUGACACAGAGUCUCACACUGUCACCCAGGCUAGAGUGCAAUGGAGCCAUCUGGGCUCUCUGCAACCUCCCUCUCCCAGGUUCAAGUGAUUCUCCUCCCUCAGGCUCCUCAGCAGCUGAGACUCUAGAAGUGCACCACCAUGCCCGGCUAAAUUUUAUUUUCAUUUCUAGUGCGGGCAGAGUUUCGCCAUGUUGUCCUGGCUCAUCUUGAACUCCCAACCUUUUGAUCUGCCUGUCUUGUCCUCCCUUCAUGCGUGAGCCACCACGCCUGGCAGACCCCUGCCCUGUCUUGAUGUUGGUGUGGGCAGGGUGUGCCCAGCCCCGGAGCUGAGGGUGGAGGGCUGGGAGUGACAGCCGAGCUGGGAGCUGCCCCCACCCUCCUCCAGCACACAGUAGCAGAGCCCUGCCUUCGACUCAAGGCACAAUGGGGGCCCUGGCCUGGUGACCAAGCAGACACAGCCACUGUGUCACUGCUGUGGAGGGGAGUGGAGAGGAGGGGACUCUGGGAAAAGUCCCUCCUGUCCAUGGUGCUGUGGCUGAGAAACCAACACCUGUGGGCUUCCAUCUCCCAGACUCAGGAAAAGGCUGGGAGGCCUGGGUGUGGCCAGGGCCUGGGGCCGACACCCCCACCUGCAGACCCUGAAUGGUGCCCCCUUUCCACAGGAGCUCAUUCCUCUACUUGAAAAAGAAAGAGAUGAAUUACGACUCAGAGGCAACAGACCCCCUGCUCUGGAAGCUGAGGACCCCGAAACCCAGGAGCCCGAGGAGAGCUUUUGUGACAAGGUGAUGAGAUGGUUCUGCGCCAUGAUGCAGCGGCUGCAGAUGUGGUGGCAGAAGUUUGUGGCCUGGGUGAAGAAGGUGGUGGCGGCCCUGGUCGAUGCAGCAAAGGCCUUCUGGAAAGAGCUUGAGCGUUUCUGCUGCUCUCUGGCAGAGCUCCUCAGGUCCCUUUUCAGUACUAAGGAAGCCCAUAGAGGGGAUUGAGGAGCUGACAGCCCAGAAGUGCUAUGAACCCCAGUGAAGCUUCCAAUGCCACUUUUGCCCUCCCCUUCACCUCGAACCCACCCUGACCCCUUCCUCAGCUCUGCUAUGCCCUGCCCCCCUCCCACACACCCAAGCCCCUUGCCUGGCGUUGCUGCUGCAGCUCUGACCUGGCACUAUCACGAUGGUGUCAUAAUAAAACCUUAAACUUACCUGGCAGAGGAGAUACUGUGAUCGCAAGAGUGGUUUUCCCAGGACAAGGCUCAUUCGUUGCUGUAUUAGCCCAUUUUCACACUGCUGUAAAGAAUGUUCCACAUGACUGGGGAGGCCUCGGGAAACUUACAGUCACGGGAGAAGGUGAAAGAAGGAAGUCACGUUCUGCGUGGCAGCAGGAGAAGCGGGGUGUUGGGAACUGCCAAACACCUUUUUUUGGGGGGGGAUGGAGUGUUGCUGUUAUCGCCCAGGCUGGUGUGCAAUGGGGUGAUCUUGGCUUACCGCAACCUCCGCCUCCCGGGCUCAAGUGAUGCUCCUACCUCAGCCUGUGGAGUAGCUGAAAAUUAGCCUGGCUGAUUUUGUAGUUUUAGUACUGAUGCGCCUUCACCAUGCCGGUCAGGCUGCUGUGACCAACAUCAUGUCUCUGACUCCAGGUCUCACAUCCAGGGCAGGCUGAUGAAGGGGUGGUCCCCAGGGCUUCGGGCAGCUCCGCCCCUGUGGCUCUGCAGGGUCCAGUCCCUGCAACUGCUUUCAGGGGGCUGGUGUUGAGUGUCUGCGGCUUUUCCAGGCACACGGUACAAGCUCUUGGUGGAUCUACCAUUCUGGGGUCUGGAGGACAGUGGUCCCCUUCUCACAGCUGCAGUAGGCAGUGCCCCAGUGGGGACUCUGUGUGGGGGCUCCAACCCUGCAUUUCCCCUCUGCAUUGCCCUAGUAGCUGUUCUCCAUGAGAGCCCCGCCCCUGCAGCCGACUUCUCCCUGAUCGUACAGGCAUUUCCCUACAUCUGCUGAAAUCUAGGCAGAGGCCCCCAAAGCUCAACUCUUGUCUUCUGCACACCUGCAGGCCCAACACCACGUGGAGGCUGCCAAGGCUUGGGACAUGCACCUUCUGAAGCCACGGCCUGAACUGUACCUUGGCCCUCUUUAGCCGCAGCUGGAAUGGAAUGGCUGGGACACAGGCCGCCAUGUCCCAAGGCUGCACAGAGCAGCAGGGUGCUGGGCCUAACUUGAAUUUCUCUCCAGAAAAUGGGUUUUUCUUUUCUACCAUAUGGUCAGGCUGCAAACUUUCCCAUCUUUUACAGUCUGCUUCCCUUUUAAAUGUAAGUUCUAAUUCUAAACCAUGUCUUUGUGAGUGCACGGAACCAUGUGGUCUCAGGAAAAGACAGAGCACGUGUUGAAUGCUUUGCUGCUUAGAAAUUUCUACUGCUGGUAGAGAGCGCUGGCUCACGCCUGUAAUCCCAGCACUUUGGGAGGUUGAGGCAGGUGGAUCACCUGAGGUCAGGAGUUCAAGACCAGCCUCAUCAACAUGGAGAAACCAUCUCUACUAACAAUACAAAAUUAGCUGGGCAAGGUGGUCCACGCCUGUAGUCUCAGCUACUUGGGAGGCUGAGCCAGGAGAAUUGCUUGAACCCAGGAGGCAGAGAUUGUCGUGAGCCAAGAUCUUGCCAUUGCACUCUAGCCUGGGCGACAGAGCAAAACUUCAUCUCAAAACAAAAAACGAAAGAAAACAAAAAUUAGCUAGGUGUGGUGGCACAUACCUGCAAUCCCAGCUACUCAGGAGGCUGAGGCAGGAGAAUCAUUCCACAGCACUCCAGCCCACCCCUGCCCUCCAAGAAAGAAAUGUCUACUACAAGACAAGCUGAAUCAUCUCUCUCUCUUUUUUUUUUUAAUUUUGAGACGGAGUUUCACUCUUGUUACCCAGGCUGGAGUGCAAUGGUGUGAUCUCGGCUCACGGCAACCUCCGCCUCCUGGGUUCAGGCAAUUCUCCUGCCUCAGCCUCCUGAGUAGCUGGGAUUACAGGCGCACGCCACCAUGCCCAGCUAAUUUUUUGUAUUUUUAGUAGAGACGGGGUUUCACCAUGUUGACCAGGAUGGUCUUGAUCUCUUGACCUCCUGAUCCACCCGCCUUGGCCUCCCAAAGUGCUGGGAUUACAGGCGUGAGCCACCGCGCCCGGCGCUGAAUCAUCUCUUUCAAGUUCAAAGUACCACAGGGCAGGGGCCACCAGUCUCUUUGCUCUAGCACAGCAAGUUCCUAUCUCCAUCUGAUACCCCCUCAGCCUGGACGUCAUUCUCCGUAUCACCAUCCGCAUUUUGCUCAAAGCCAUUCAACAAGUCUCUAGGAAGUUCCAAACUUUCCCACAUCUUCCUGUCUUCUUCUGAGCCCUCCAAACUGCUCCAGCCUCUUCCUGUCACCCAGUUCCAAAGCUGCUUCCACAUUUUCAGAUGAUCUUUACAGCAGUGCCCACUCCUGAUAUGAAUUUUCUCUCUUGGUCCAUUUUCACACUGCUAUACAGAAUACCUGAGACUGGGUAAUUUAUAAGGAAAAAAGGAUUAAUUGACUCACAGUUCCACAAAACUGGGGAGGCCUCAGGGAACUUCCAAUCACGGUUGAAGGCGAAGGGAAAGCAUGUCUUACACGGUGGCAGGAGAGAGAGAGAGAGAGAGAGAGAGAGGGAGAGAGACAGGGAAAUGCCAAACAUUUUAAAACAUCAGAUCUCAUUAGAACUCACUCAGUUUCACCAGAACAGCACGGGGGAACCCGCCCCCAUGAUCCGGUCACCUCCUCCCUGGUCCCUCCCUUGACAUGUGGGAAUUACAGCUCCAGAUGAUAUUUGGGUGGGACACGAAGCCAAACACUCCGGAUGUGCCGACUCCCGUGACUUCCGCACGUGUGGGACACCUGACUGCAUCCUCUGUGGUGGUGGGACUGCAUUCAUACUCUCCCCUGAAAGCAAUACAGUGAAGCAAUAGCUGCUCAGAUGGAAUCAGGUGCCGGCCUCCAGGCUUCUCUGACAGGCGGGCGCAGGGAGGUGGGGGGCCCGGUAGUGACAGCAAAGGA